UACGGAGGGGGCUAGCGUUGUUCGGAAUUACUGGGCGUAAAGCGCGCGUAGGCGGCUUUGUAAGUUAGAGGUGAAAGCCCCGGAGCUCAACUCCGGAACUGCCUUUAAGACUGCAUCGCUAGAAUCAUGGAGAGGUGAGUGGAAUUCCGAGUGUAGAGGUGAAAUUCGUAGAUAUUCGGAAGAACACCAGUGGCGAAGGCGGCUUACUGGUCCGGUACUGACGCUGAGGUGCGAAAAGCGUGGGGAGCAAACAGG
rnacentral:rRNA from 1 species